rnacentral:rRNA from 1 species
UACGAAGGGGGCUAGCGUUGCUCGGAAUCACUGGGCGUAAAGCGUGCGUAGGCGGUGUCUUAAGUUUGUUGUGAAAUCUCCCGGCUUAACCGGGAGGGUGCGGCGAAUACUGAGAUGCUGGAGUGCCGGAGAGGUAAGCGGAAUUCCUGGUGUAGCGGUGAAAAUGCGUAGAUAUCAGGAGGAACACCUGCGGUGUAGACG